GGUGAUUCAGUGGUAGAAUUCUCAUCUGCCAGGUGGGAGACCUGGGUUCUAUUCCCUGCC
rnacentral:tRNA from 1 species